GACAGAGGGUGCAAACGUUGUUCGGAAUUACUGGGCGUAAAGCGCAUGUAGGCGGCCUAGCAGGUCGGAUGUGGAAUCCCUCGGCUCAACCAAGGAAGUGCAUUCGAAACCGCAAGGCUGGAGUCCCGGAGAGGAUGGUGGAAUUCUCGGUGUAGAGGUGAAAUUCGUAGAUAUCGAGAGGAACACCGGCGGCGAAGGCGGCCAUCUGGACGAGGACUGACGCUGAGAUGCGAAAGCGUGGGGAGCAAACAGG
rnacentral:rRNA from 1 species